rnacentral:misc_RNA from 1 species
AGACAGCCAUAGUACACAGCUACUGUGACUUUUGUCAUGUCAACCUCUGCAAACCCUGUAUACUAGAUCAUAUAUUAGAUGAAUAUGACAAACAUAAAAUACUCCCAUUCCAAGAACGAAGAUCAACCCUCGUUUAUCCAAAAUGUAGGACACAUCCACAAAAAAAUUGCGAUUUGCUGUGCAAGAAUUGCGACAACGUAUUUGUUUGUUCCUCUUGUACUGCCUCUGAACAACACAGGGAACAUUUAUUUGUAGAUGUUACAGAGGUUUACAAGACAAAGAAAAACAAUAUCGAAAAAGACACAGAGGAAUUAAAAAAUCUUAUUUCUCCUAAAUAUAAAGAAAUUGCAAUGGACUUGGAAAAUCAGCUUGCCAACCUGGAUGGAGGAUAUGAGAAACUUACAACAACAAUGUCUAAACAAGGAGAGCAGUGGCACAGAGAAAUCGACAUCGUUAUCAACAAAAUGAAAACUGAUAUCAGCGACAUUAAAGAGAAACACAAAGACAUUUUACAGAAACAUUUGGAUGAAAUCAAACAGAUACAGUCUCUGAUAAAACAAACAUUACUUGCCUUAAAAGAAAUUGAGAAAUCUACUGCAGUAGCUCCUACCAUUGAAUACAACUCAAAGAUCAGAGAAUUUAGCAAACUUCCACCCGAGCUUCAAGUAAAACUGCCAACAUACAUUCCAAAACCGAUAGACAGGGAGAAGCUUUAUAGUUUGUUUGGACAGAUCACCCCAUUAUCAACUGCUACAAAAGAAAAUGUCUUGUCACAGAACCAAGCCAACACUUUAGUCAGAGAACUACUGGAUGAGCCAGAGCUUGUUGCCACAAUACAGACUGGGUAUAAAGAACUACUCGGUGUUACCUGUCUAGAUGAAGACGGUGUAUGGACGCAUGGAUUCACCAAAAAAAUCAAAUGCUUUAACAUUAAUGGUUCACUUCUCCAAACAAUCGGGACAAAAUCAGGAAAAAGGCCCAAUGACAUAGUUGUAAACAGUGAUGGGGAUUUACUGUACUCUGACUGGAAAACUAGGACAGUGAACAAAGUAAAGAAUGGACAGAUAGAAGAGUUGAUCAGAUUACAGGGAUGGGCGCCCUUUAAUCUGUGUGUCACCUCUACUGGUGAUCUCCUAGUUACUAUGUACAGUAAUGAUAAAACUCAAUCCAAAGUUGUCCGUUACUCAGGAUCUACAGAGAAACAAACAAUUCAGUUUGAUGAUGAAGGUAAACCUCUGUACUCGGGGAAUAGUUAUGAGAAAUAUAUCACAGAGAACAGAAACCAUGACAUCUGUGUAACUGACCAUGAGGCUGGUGCAGUUGUCGUGGUUUAUCAGGACGGGAAACUCAGAUGGAGAUACACUGUUCAUCCCUCAGCUACCAAGAACAAACCAUUUAAUCCCUAUGGUAUUACAACAGACAGUCAGAGUCGCAUCCUGACAGCAGACAUUUACAACCAUUGUAUCCACAUUCUGGAUCAGAAUGGACAGUUUCUCCGUUACAUUGAUAAUUGUGGUCUGGAGGAUCCUUUUGGUUUAUGUGUGGACAAUAAUGACAAUCUGUUUGUGUGCGAGUAUUACAAAGGCAAUGUAAAAAAAAUCAAAUUUUUAAGAUAGACACCAAAUUGGUGACUUAUAAAGAUAAAGCAGAAACCAUUUUCGUUAUUUUGGCUUUUUUUUAAAACUUAUUAAAGAUAUAUUAAAAAGGUAGUUAAAAUCCAGUCAUUUUUUCCUCAUUCAUUAUAUUACAUAUUAUAUACGUGAUUUAAUACAUGAUUGUUGAGU